UUCUGCAGCAAAAAAUAGAGAUAAGUAGCAAAAGCUGCUCAAGGAGAAGCCUCAUUGUACGUGUUAUGACAGUCGGGAGAGGGAUUAAUCCUGGCAGUGUUUCCUUGUAUUUGUUAAGGCAGAUGAUACACAGUGACAAUGGCAGCUGCUCCUUUCCACAGCGCUGCUGAGGAAACCUUACCUGCAUGUUCCUUCAGAGGUGCAUAAUGCAUCAUUCCUAGCUCACAGGGGUGAUCAAGCCCACAGGUGACAAACACUCCUGUGGCACCACACAUAAACAUAGCACCUUAUUAGCUCACAUUUUGAAGAGCCUUCUCUGGAGGAAUGUAAAGGCUGUGAGUGUCAUGGUCUGAGAGCAGCACAGACACAUCCCCUUCCGUGUUCAUGGAUCAACAGCCUUUCCUGGAGUACGUAGCUAAGCCCUUUCUCUAUGCUUUUGUUUUCAUAAUCUGCAGAGAAAGAGCAAGGCUUUUUUCCUGCCUCACUGAGUGUGUUGGUUUAGUGCCUGUGUGUAGCUUAGCUAAGGCAAAAGAGAGUUGGUACCACUCAGAACAGCACUCAAAUCGUUGGGCUACUUGAGGAAAAAGUGUUUCUCAAUCACUCCUUUUGAACCCACUGCAUUUAACAUAGAAGUGCUAAACAUGAGUGGAAUGAGUGGAAAGGAAUAAAGAGCUUUGAUUUGUCAAUGCUGGUGAUGAAUGGUGGUGGUGAUGGGAACUCUGGGCUAAUUGUAUGUAUGCUGGGGAUUUUUUUUUCCUUCCAUUUUUUUUCCCCUUUCUUUCCUUCAUCCCAUAAUUGAACAAGCUGCUAAAAGAACCUUAGGAUUAAAUAUUGAACAAGAUGAUUCCUGAGUAACUGUUGCAGCUAAUGCACCAGAGAGUUGUCCAAGUUUUUGCUACACUUGUGUGGUUUAGGGAUAGGGAUUUGGCCCUCCUGCCUGUAAACACACAGCUAUGAGGAACAGUUGGAAGGAUGGAGAGGCACUUUACCUGCACAUCAAGCUGGUAACCCUUUCUGGAUUGCACAGAUCCCCCUGGGAGGAGCGUGUGAAGCUGUUUAGUUCUCCCUGCAGAGGGGAUUCCCCAGGAACAGACAGUCCUACAGCAUUCACUACCUAAAGCUGACUUGCCAUCAACAAAAGCUAAGAGAGGAAAAGAAACACAGUAAGUGAUCUAAAGAGACAGCCAUGCUGUGAUGGAAAAAGCCUUUAAAAGUAAUUACAUAAAAAGCAUGAGCUGCUAUGCAGAGUUAGGGUCCCUGAAUGGAGUAAUUAAAAAGGAGCAUGCAUUUUCUGUUAGAAAUCUAUCAGAAGUAAAACCAAAAUGUAAUCAGAUUCAGCUUCUAGAUGGAAACUUUUUUCACUUCACAGAACAACUAAAAGAAGGUGAAUAACAAACACCAACAAUUCUCAUCGGUGUCAUCAAUAUUGAAGUACUUCACUGAAGCAAAAUGUUACGAAGGAAGUUGGGAAUGGACAUUUAAAGACUUAAAAUUUACUAAAUUUUCUCCCCAAUUUGAUUGUUGGUGAAGUUCAAUGCUGAGUUCUGCAGGAUUGACUUGGAGAUGCUUCCUUUUGACUUUGAUGCCUGGUUACUUGGAGAGCCCAACAACAGCGUGGAUUUAAGAAUCUGCCUUGGCCUUUUGCCCCUUGAGACCUCAGUGAUGUGAAUGUGAGCAGUGCUCUGUGCAUUUAUGCAUGCUCGUGUCCUGGAGCCUAGAAGCACAAUUUCCCGUAAACAUUUCCAAGUUUGGAACAAAAACAGUGAUGGCCUGUGCCAUGACUUGAGUUCAGCAAGAACUGCCUGCUUGUGCUACAUGUCUUCAGUGGGAGUAUUAUCAUUAUAUAUAUGGAGACAAGAGGUUUUCACCCAGAUUAUACACGUGCAAAAAACCCAUACAUUAAGCUAGAACAUCCACUUCCUGAAAAUAUGGCACAGGAGAAGGGAGAGGACUGGUGUAGGUGUGAACCUCACACCUGCAUUUUGGAAAGGCACAUUCUACCUGUCCUUCCAUCCAUCUGUUCAUCACCCAAGGAAUCCUGAGAGCUUUUUUGCUUUGCUUCCUGUGCCUAUGGAAACAGAAAAACUAAAGGAAGAUGAAUGACUUCUGUGUGAAAUUUCCUUCCAGGGAACUAACUGCAAAUUGCAGUGGUUAUUAAUAUGAGUGAUUCAAGUCUAAUCAGGGAAAAAAAAUAAUGGAAAAAGGGAAGCCAUCUCAGGAAGGAGAAAAACUCGCUUGUCACCUGGGAUAAGGAGAAUCAAAGCUAAACUUCCAAUGCUGUGGACGAGGAAAUGUGGUUGGAGAGGAAGAGGUGGCAUCACGAGCAACAGGAAAACAAGGCUGUGAAUAUCAGGGAGCAUUUGGCAGUACCAAGAGGGUGCAGCUCAGAUGACACAGGCCCAUAGCAGUUGCCCUGUUUUUCCCAUUGAAGUGGAAGCAUUUGGAUUUCAGCUGGUCACAUUUUCUGUACAGUGUUUGCACCAUCAUGGAGUUCACGCCCCUCAAGAGGGCUUUAGGUGAAACUGGAGAGAUUCAGUCAUAUUUUCUGGUUUUACUACCAUGAGACUUAACCUAAGGAAGAGAAAAGGAAGUGGGUCACAGGGGAGCAGAAAAGGCCGUGACUCUUGCUGAAAACUGCUCAGCAAUAAUGAAAACAUCCCCAAAUUAUCAGCACUGUUUUCAGCACAAUUCCAAAACACAGCCCCAUGGCAGCUACUGGGAAGGAAAUGAAGGACCCCAGCCCAAAGCAGCACACUGAGGUGUUUGCAUUGUCUCUUUCUACUUUUAAUAAUGGCUUUUUAUGUGACAGUGUGAUGGCUGAAAAGCAACCUGAUGCAGCGGCUACAUAAAUUUGGAAAACUCUUCUUGAAAUCUCUGGUAUAACCCGUGUACUAUAGUGUGUCCAAAUGGAUUUAGUGUAUCAUAACGCUCCUAGAAAAACAAAGGGACAAAGAAGAUGGGAUUGCUAAGGGAGACAUUAGAUUUCAUUUCACACUGGUAAUAGUUUAGAGACGUGUGCUGAGCAAAAUGUGAUUCAAUUCUGCGGCACUUUUCUUUUUUAUUGCUGCUAAGUGAUUUCAAUAUCCAGUCUAAAGUGAUAUUGAGAGUGUUCGAUAGAACGGGGAUGAAAUCAGGGAGCGCUGGAGGCUCAGAGGAGGCCACAAAUCUCAGGUUGACUCGACGAAGCCUUUCGGAGCCAUCCCCACCUGACCUUAACCCAUCUUAUUUAACCUGGAGGCUGCUGUUGAAAGCAGAUGGAGAUUGCUACACAAACAGGGAGGAAUACCUGUAGUCGAUGGUCACAAACAUGGUACUUGGGGGCUGCUUCUCAAAGCUAAGGAGCUCCUUUCAGCUUCUGAUAAACACGCAGCUAGAAAAGGAUAGCAAACAAGGCCUGUGGACAUUCAUGCUCAACUCAUUCCCAGGGAUUAGGAUUAAAACCACCCGAAGUUACUUUGUUUAUUUGUAUUUUUAAUCCUCAUUGGGUACUACCAUUAAUACUCAGUUCAUCAGUGCAGCACAGCUCCCUGCUGAAUUGGGAUGAGCUGGCUGAGUCAGCUGACAGAAGGAAGAGAGGAAUCGAGUUUGACAGCAGCACAGACUUACUUUGGCUUAAGGUGGAAGAAAGUGUUCGCUCUUUCCAAGUGACCUAAAAGCAUCUGGAAAAGUGAAGAUAGAGGAUUGGGGUCACAAAAACUCCGUGUGGGUUUAGCAUCCUUGAAAACGCCAGGAAUGGAGUAAUUGGAUGACUGGUACAGGCUGUGGAUGCAGCUCUUUCAUCACUGCCCCCAGUGAAUGGAAUUCUUUCCCUUCUACAUUUAAAUCUAAUCCAGACCUUCAGAUUUCGCUGUGGAUGGUUUCACCUCUGAGCUGAGCAGCAGCCCGAGAGAGCUUCACCUCUGCUGGUGUAUGGAAAACCCUCUGAGGCUCCAGGUGCUGUGGAGCUUGUAUUUGCCUUCUGCAAAAUGCUUCUGGAAUUUUAGGAUGAUUUACAUCAAUGUAUCCCUCUGCCACUGCGCCAGGAGUGAUGAGGGUGCCUGAAACACUCUGCAGGGAUAAGGACACAGGAGAACUACACUCAGAAACCAGGA